rnacentral:rRNA from 1 species
GAUGAACGCUGGCGGCGUGCUUAACACAUGCAAGUCGAACGAUGAAGCCCAGCUUGCUGGGUGGAUUAGUGGCGAACGGGUGAGUAACACGUGAGUAACCUGCCCUUAACUCUGGGAUAAGCCUGGGAAACUGGGUCUAAUACCGGAUAGGAGCGUCCACCGCAUGGUGGGUGUUGGAAAGAUUUAUCGGUUUUGGAUGGACUCGCGGCCUAUCAGCUUGUUGGUGAGGUAAUGGCUCACCAAGGCGACGACGGGUAGCCGGCCUGAGAGGGUGACCGGCCUCACUGGGACUGAGACACGGCCCAGACUCCUACGGGAGGCAGCAGUGGGGAAUAUUGCACAAUGGGCGCAAGCCUGAUGCAGCGACGCCGCGUGAGGGAUGACGGCCUUCGGGUUGUAAACCUCUUUCAGUAGGGAAGAAGCGAAAGUGACGGUACCUGCAGAAGAAGCACCGGCUAACUACGUG